UUUUUAUUAUUAUUAGUAUAAAUAAUGAUUGGGGACUACGAGCAAUGGCUUAAAAACCCAAGAUUUUGGCGGUGUUUUAUUCAAUCAGGGGAAUCUGUCUCAUAAUCGAUAACCCACGAAAGAUUAACCUUACCCUUGAAAGCAACAGUUUGUGUACUGCCGUCCAAUGGGCCCUUAAGGUUACCCGUAAUAAAUUAUUAUAAAUUUUACGUCAGGUCAAAGUGCAGCUAACGGGAAGGGGAAGAUGGAUUACAGUCUAUACCAUAGAUAGAGUUAUAACAUAAAGUUAUAAUAAAAGAGAACUUGAUAGUAAUUUUAUUUAUAAAAAUAAAAUGAAUAAAGAACUUAAAACAAGC
rnacentral:rRNA from 1 species